rnacentral:rRNA from 1 species
GAUGAACGCUAGCUACAGGCUUAACACAUGCAAGUCGAGGGGAAACGGCAUUGAGUGCUUGCACUCUUUGGGCGUCGACCGGCGCACGGGUGAGUAACGCGUAUCCAACCUUCCCAUUACUGUGGGAUAACCUGCCGAAAGGCAGACUAAUACCGCAUAGUCUUCGAUGACGGCAUCAGAUUUGAAGUAAAGAUUUAUCGGUAAUGGAUGGGGAUGCGUCUGAUUAGCUUGUUGGCGGGGUAACGGCCCACCAAGGCUACGAUCAGUAGGGGUUCUGAGAGUAAGGUCCCCCACAUUGGAACUGAGACACGGUCCAAACUCCUACGGGAGGCAGCAGUGAGGAAUAUUGGUCAAUGGACGGAAGUCUGAACCAGCCAAGUAGCGUGCAGGAUGACGGCCCUAUGGGUUGUAAACUGCUUUUGUAUGGGGAUAAAGUUAGGGACGUGUCCCUAUUUGCAGGUACCAUACGAAUAAGGACCGGCUAAUUCCGUG